rnacentral:snRNA from 1 species
AUCGCUUCUCGGCCUUUUGGCUAAGAUCAAAGUGAUCUGUUCUUUUUAUAUUAUGUUAUUAAUACUGUUUAAUAUAAUUAAUAUUAUAACGGCAAAAGAUCUAAU